AACCUCAAUCCCCCAGGGUUCUGCUCUGAGUGAUUGGAAUUGGGCGCUGCCGGUCCGCCGGCUCGCCUCAAAUGCGUUAGUGGGAUCAGCAUCCUCGAUCGGCGUAAUAAGUUUCGCUGAGAAGGGACGCGGCGAGCCCGCUCACAACCCUCUCCUCACGGAGAACACUCUAUG
rnacentral:misc_RNA from 1 species